GGCUCCCUACGGGGGGCAGCAGUGAGGAAUAUUGGUCAAUGGGCGAGAGCCUGAACCAGCCAAGUCGCGUGAGGGAUGACUGCCCUAUGGGUUGUAAACCGCUUUUGUUCAAGGGAAAGGCACGGUCUUUGGCCGUGUUGAGUGGAUUGUUCGAAUAAGCACCGGCUAACUACGUGCCAGCAGCCGCGGUAAUACGUAGGGGGCAAGCGUUAUCCGGAUUUAUUGGGCGUAAAGGGCUCGUAGGCGG
rnacentral:rRNA from 1 species